ACUCAAUGGACUGUCCCUCCAAUCGCUAAGUUUUCUCAUCUGGAACAUAUAUCUGGGAGAGGAACAAACAAGAGGAGAAUCUGCAGCUGCAGCUUAAACAAAAGAACAACAUUUGGUGCCCUGGACGUGGGAAGGCUCUGCCCUUGGUACCCCCCUCCACAUCCCGCUGGCGGGUACGUGUUGGGUCAAGGACAUCCUUAUCACGCGAAUAAACAAUCCACAUUCCAGAUCACCGGUUUGCUGGAUUCUGCAUACAACACCGGACCCAAUUCGGUAAGGCUACCCCUUUCAGUCAGCGUAAACGUCUCCCUGAACCCGAGGGACUGACCGUUGAUCGUC
rnacentral:lncRNA from 1 species